AGCCCGGGGGGGGGGAGGGAAGGGAGACCUGGAGGUGGGCUUGGGGUUUAUAGGGCCAGGUGUGUGAGGAAAGGCAGGGCUGUAAGGGGUAGGUGUGUGAGGAGGCGGCUCUGGGCUACUGUGGGGGGGGCAGGUGUAUGUGUGAGUAAAGGCAGGCCUGUAAGGAGUCAGGUGUGGGGAGGGAUCAGGCUUAUGGGCCCAGCUGUGUGUGAGGAAAGGCAGCCUGCGUACAGGUGUGUGUGUGAGCUUCAGGCCUAUAGGGGGACUGAGUGUGUGUGGAGGUGGUUUUAUGCCUACCACAGGUUCGGGUGUGCAAGAGGAGUUUUCAGGGCCCAUCACAGAGUGGCUCUGGGGCUUGCAGCAGCUGCUGGCGUGUGGCAAAGCCUUGGUAAGGAUGGGCUCCAUCAGGAGGGGAGGGCUGUGGGGCUGAAGGACUGCCCAGCCUGAGGAGGGAAAGGUCUUGGAGGAGAAGAAGCUUUAGUGGUGGCUGAAAGGCCUGGGUUAGGAUGACUGCAGAACAGAGAGAUGGGGUAAGGUGAUACAACGCUGUUCCUGCCACGCUUUGCAGUUUCCUAUAUAGAGGCAAACAUUCCUUUAUAAAUACAGGACCUACCCUGGUUUGUCCAUUGAUUUCUGAGCGUGUUGCUGUCAGACAAAGCUGAAGGCCCAGAACUGUGCGUUAUGCGCAUGUCUCAUGCAGCCUUGUGCUGGUGUGUCUCUGCUGGUUGUGCUGCUGGGCUGCCUUCCAGGGCCCUCGUGGUGCAGCUGUUUCAAACUAAAGGUGUGGAAACUUGAAAAAAACGCGUCUCAGGCAAUGGCAGCUGUGUUCUGUUCUACAAAGGUCAAUAUUACAGGUUUUUUGCUUAUUUAUCUAUUUCAUAUAAAAAACAUGUUGUUGUGCUCUCUGUUUACAAAGACUGAACUUUGUAGCUUUUUUUCCUCUGUUUCUUACAAAUGGAAAGAAAAACACAAAGAGCAGGACUUCUGUGUCAGCUGCUUUGCAAAUAGCUGAUGCUGACAAAGCAGGAUGCAGAAACCUUUCUUCAGACUGAGUGAAUGUAUGUCAAACGCUGUGUGAAGAUGGGGAAGUGAUUUGGGCAGUCCAAGCGUGGCCCCAGCGGUGCAGCUCCUGGGAUGCAGCAGCGGCCACCGCACCCUUUCCUGUUCACCCUGCAACCCUGUCAGCUCUUCUGCAUCAGCCAGAGCCCCACGGAAGGAUUGCUUGUCCACAUGCAGAUGGCUCUGGCACCGAUGUGAUUGGCAGCAAGAGGUGCUGAGCGGCUCCAACACUUACUGGUGUGCCAAGUUGAGUGCCCCCCAAAGGGAUGUUGAGAUCUAGGAGCUGCUUGCAGUUGCGUUGAUGUUUAGCCACGUCUCAGCCUCAUCUCCUGUAAGAGGCAAUAUUUACUUAUGUAAAAAGGUUUAAUACAUGCUUUGUGUGGGUAUUCCAAGUUAAAAAUUGUCAGUCAGUGCAAACAGAUAUUGGAUAAACUACUGAAAAGCAAAGUGCACGAGCUGUCCGACUGCAGUUCUUUUCAGAACAGGGUAUGUCCUGGUGCCCCCUGGAUUAACUAGUUUUAAACAGCACUGCAGUCAUCUUGAGUUUAGUCCUUCCUUAGAUAAAACCGAUUCUGUUUUA